GAAUAACCAUGGCAGAAGCAUUUUACAUCCUGAUAGGAUUUCUGAUUAUGGCGGCGAUUAUCGUCAUGGCUGUCCUU
rnacentral:tRNA from 1 species